rnacentral:rRNA from 1 species
AUUGAACGCUGGCGGCAGGCCUAACACAUGCAAGUCGAGCGAGCGGCGGACGGGUGAGUAAUGUCUGGGAAACUGCCUGAUGGAGGGGGAUAACUACUGGAAACGGUAGCUAAUACCGCAUACCAUCAGAUGUGCCCAGAUGGGAUUAGUGGGUAGGUGGGGUAACGGCUCACCAAGGCUACGAUCCCUAGCUGGUCUGAGAGGAUGACCAGCCACACUGGAACUUGGACACGGGCCAGACUCGGACGGGAGGCAGCAGUGGGGAAUAUUGCACAAUGGGCGCAAGCCUGAUGCAGCCAGGCCGCGUGUGUGAAGAAGGCCGUCGGGUUGUAAAGCACUUUCAGCGGGGAGGCGUUACCCGCAGAAGAAGCACCGGCUAACUCCGUGCCAGCCGCCGCGGUAAUAC